rnacentral:ncRNA from 1 species
CCGCAGUGAAAGCGAGCCUGAACAGGGCGUCGAGUCGGUGGGGGUAGACGCGAAACCAAGUGAUCUACACUUGGCCAGGAUGAAGUCCCGGUAACACGGGAUGGAGGUCCGAACCAAUAAGCGUUGAAAAGCUUCUGGAUGAGCCGAGUGUAGGAGUGAAAGGCCAAUCAAACUUGGAGAUAGCUCGUACUCCCCGAAAGGCAUUUAGGUGCCGCGUGCAGCGUUCACCAUGAGAGGUAGAGCGACCGAUAGGAUGCGAGGGCUUCACCGCCUAUCAAGUCCUGACGAACUCCGAAUGCUCAUGCACCGCAGCGGUGCAGUAAGGGUGCGGGUGCUAAGGUCCGUGCCCGAGAGGAGAAGAAUCCAGACCGCCGUCUAAGGUCCCUGAGUUCUGCCUGAGUUAGUCUAACGAAGUAUGGUCCCUGAGACAGCCAGGAUGUUGGCUUGGAAGCAGCCAUUCAUUCAAAGAGUGCGUAACAGCUCACUGGUCGAGGGUCCGUGCGUGGAUAAUAAUCGGGUAUAAGGCAGACACCGAAGGCGCGGGAUAGCAUUAAAGAAAGUAUCGGUAGGGGAGCAUUCCAUGUGCGUCGAAUGGGGAGGACGACCGACCCUGGAGCGCAUGGAAAAGCAAAUGUAGGUAUAAGUAACGACUAGACGGGUGAGAUCCCCGUCCGCCAUAAGACUAAGGUUUCCCGGGCCAUGUUGUUCAUCCCGGGGUCAGUCGGGUCCUAAGGCUCAUCCGAAUGGAGAGGCCGAUGGCUGACACGGUCAAUAUUCCGUGACUUCCCAUUGGGGCGACGUGGUGACGGAGCAGUGACACUGCCGCGCGCUGACGGAAUAGCGCGUUGACGGGCGUAGGCAUUGAGAGGGGCAGGCAAAUCCACCCCUUGAGCUGAACCCCUACAGUACGGCGGCCUCCUCGGAGGCGGCCGAUAGCGCAGGUAAGCAUACUCCCGAGAAAAACCGCUAAGCUUAACCCAUUGGGAACCCGUACCGCAGACCGACACAGGUAGUCGGGUAGAGCAUACUGAGGCGUUGAGAGAUUCGUGGCUAAGGAACUAGGCAAACUGACCCCGUAACUUCGGGAUAAGGGGUCCUGGCUUCGGCCAGGCGCAGAGAAUAGGUCCAGGCAACUGUUUAACAAAAACACAGGGCUGUGCAAACUCGCAAGAUGAGGUAUACAGCCUGACACCUGCCCGGUGCCGGAAGGUUAAGAGGAGUGCUCACCCGCGAGGGGAAGGCAUGAAUUGAAGCCCCGGUAAACGGCGGCCGUAACUAUAACGGUCCUAAGGUAGCGAAAUUCCUUGUCGGGUAAGUUCCGACCUGCACGAAUGGUGUAAUG